ensembl:misc_RNA Metazoa_SRP Metazoan signal recognition particle RNA
GCUGGACAGAGUGGCACGUGCCUGUAAUCCCAGCUACUCUGGAGGCUGAGUCUGGAGACUUGCUUGAACCCAGGAGUCUGAAGUUGCAGGGAGCCCAGAUGGAGUCACCGCACUCUAGCGUGGGCAAUAGAGCGAAACUCUGGCUCAAAAAUAAACUCAAAUAAAAUAAACAAAAAAAAAUUAAGAAAUUAAAAAGAGCCGGGCAAGGUCAUGCCUGUAGUCCCAGCUACUCGGGAGGCUGAGGCAGGAGGAUCGCUUGAGCCCAGGAGUAUUGGCAUCAAUAUGGUGACCUCCUGGGAGCGGGGGACCAUCAGGUUGCCUAAGGAGGGGUGAACUGGCCCAGGUCGGAAGUGGAGCAGGUCAAAACUCCCGUGCUGAUCAGUAGUGGGAUCGCGCCUGUGAAUAGCCACUGCACUCCAGCCUGAGCAACAUAGCGAGACCCCGUCUCUU